UGCAGCCACAUUAUGUUGAAACACUGGUUUUCAUACAAUCACCGAAGUUAAGCAAUGUCGAGCCUGGUCUGUACCUAGAUGAGUGACCGCUUGGAAAUACCAGAUUCUGUAA